CCAAUCUCCUCCUUGACCUCAUAGAAGGAGUGCAGCUUCCUCCGGUGGCUUUGCUUCUCUGAGUCCAGCUCAUUGUCCCCUAAGGAGUGGGAAGCGGCUGGUAUGGGCAAAGGUGACCACCCUGAUCCCCAUGGAACCCAAUGCUGUGAUGUUGACGGGAGCUGCUCCGUGGACCCAAGACUAUGGAACCACACUCACCCAGGGACAGGGUCCUAUGGACACCAAGUUCACCGCCACUUGCCUCUCCCCAGUGGAGGGUUCUGGCCCCUCUGAGGAGACACGGUGAGUAGAAUGUGGGGAUCCCAGGCUGGGGCAGGGCUGGGACAGGCUGGGAGGCCUUUGCACAUGUGCAAAUGCCCCCCGGCCCUGGGCAGGAGGCAUGGGGAUCACGCUUAUAACCCAGCUGGGCCCAACCCCGUACGUGCGGUGUGCGUGUCGAUGGCCUGGUAUGUGUAGGUCCUCUGUGUGGUCUCUGUGACCACGUGGCUGUGGACGUCCCAGAGCAGCUCCCCUGUGCCUGCCCCGGGCCAGGCUGCACCCUCCAUCCUGGGGUUAGGAAGUGGGGUGAGGCUCUGCCGGGCCGCCACACGUUCUGAGCAGCCAGGCCUCCCAGUGAGAUAGGGGAUCCCUGCUCACCACUACUCGGAAGAGGCUGCAGCAAAGCCUCUCUGGGAUGAG
rnacentral:lncRNA from 1 species